AGGGGCGUAAGCUCAACGGCUAAACUGCCGGUCUCCAAAACCGGACUUGGGGGUUCGAAUCCCUCCGCCCCUGCCA
rnacentral:tRNA from 7 species